rnacentral:lncRNA from 1 species
CGCGGAGCCGCUGGGCAGCCGCGCUUCCACCGCAGUCCUUCCCCGGUCCCGACUCCUGCGCCCGCUGAUCGGCCUCCAGCCUUUCCGUCUCCCGUCCGAGGAGCGCCUCGGAAACGGGAGAAACGUCAGAGUAAAGGCUGGAGACGGGGGGUUUCAAAGAGCGCGGUUUCCUGACAGACGAACGCGCAGGGAACGGGCUGCUGCGGGAAAUCCUGCCGCGGCCUCGGGAGCGCCGGGCGGCCCGGCUCGGCGGACGGGGAUGGACGCACAAAUGGACGGAUGGGUGGAUGAGCGUUGCCAGCGAGCAGUGAUGUCGACAAUAAUUAUGUAGAUACGGGCUCUGGUACUACAAAAUCUAUAAUGAAGGGCAUCUAAUUUUAAUGGAACAGGAUUGGGCCCACAAUCCCUGAUUCUCUUUUAAACAUCAGCCUAAACAUGAAAUUUUUGAAGUGGAAAAG